rnacentral:lncRNA from 1 species
GUGAUUCGUUAGAAGAAAUUAUUGAGCUGCAAGGACUCAUUGCUGAUGAGUCACAGUCAACAUCAGCUGCUCAAUCUAUUGUGGCUGAAACAGUGACGACCAAGUUUGUAUUUCCCAAACUAAUAAACCUUGGAUUGUAUAAGGUACCGAGAUUGAAAAGUUUCUACUCUAGGAUGCAUAUCACCCAGUGGCCUUCAUUGAAAAAAAUGGACAUUAUUGGAUGCCCCAAAGUACAUAUAUUUACUCCACAAUGUCCUGAGAGUCAGGUUGGAAUCUCAAACCAACAACCCUUGUUUUGCGUCAACGAGGUAAGCUCACUAGCAGUUUCAUAUUCCAUGUUCAUUACUUGAGAUUACCUAUAAAAUGCUUUUUGAAAAAACUAAUAUUCUCUCCUCUUUUAAUUUUAUGAGAGUCUAGUUCUUACUAAUUUAAAACUUUUUCAUCGAUGUCUAAUAUAUUCAUUGCCAUCCAGGACACUUUCCCUGAAUUAGAAGAACUAACACUGAACACGAAUGAUGUGGUGAAGGAGAUAUGUGAUGGACAGCUCUCAUUGCAGUGUUUCCAAAACCUUAAACUUCUUAACCUCCGAUUCUUUCCUGAGACAUCCACUACUCUUCCAUAUUCCUUCAUUCGUUCGCUACCAAAGCUUCAGAAGCUUGUUAUAAACAAUGCUUCCAUUUCUGAAAUAGUCCGAUCUGAAGGACUUAGCGAAGAGGAAAGGCACACAUCGGUAUUCUAUCAGUUAAAGGACUUAAGGUUGUCUCAACUUCCAGAGUUGACGUUAAAGACUUUUAAACCAUCUUUGCUGUCUUUCAAAAAUCUAACAACACUGGAAGUUUCAAGCUGCCAUGGGUUCAUCAAUUUAAUCGCAUGCUCAACAGCUAAGUGCCUGACGCUACUGGAAAGAUUGAUCAUAGAUGAUUGUGAGAUGAUAGAGGAAAUCAUAGCGUGUGAGGCUGAAGAAAUACAAGGCGGCAUUGUAUUUCCCAAAUUGCAGUAUUUGCAACUAAGUUGUCUUCCAUGUCUAGCAAGCUUUUCCUUGGCCCCUCACUCGUUGGAAUUCCCAGUCUUGCUAAUGGUGAUAGUGACAAAGUGCCCCCAAAUGAGGAAUUUCUGCCAAGGAGAUUUAAGCACACCAAGGCUGGAACAAAUGCACUUAACAAGAGAUGAGGAAGGUGAACUGCAGUGGGAAGGCGACCUUAACACUACCAUAAAACAUAUGUUCGAUGAAAUAGUACAAAUCAUUUAAAGGAUUUAAAUUCAUGUGUUUUUACAUACAUACAUACAUACAUACAUACAUAGUUAAUUGAACAAUUCUUGGUUUGUUAUGACCAUGCACAGAAUGUGCAAAAUUCUGAGCCGACGGAGGUUACUAAUCAGUUGCCCAAGCUGGAAUAAGGAAAUAUGUUUGGGUGCUUAUGCGAAAAGCUCAAUUUCGUUUGAAUUCAAAACAAAUGGUAAUUGACUCCUCUAUUUUCAUCAUGGUUUAACUAAUGCUUUAUAAAGUGACCAUAGAGACGCCCUUUUCAUUAUAGGUUGAGUUGCUCUACUGAAGUACGAGGCAGCAACUUUUGGUAAAAUGUGAAAGGUUAUUUCAGUUUUUGUAAAACUACUGUUUGGACUGUUCCAUUUCACAUUAUACCCUCAAAAUUGAACUUCAAGUGUAUCAUGAAUGGCAUUGGGCUACAAACAUGUAAACUUUUACUAGUAAGGUUGACCCCUGUUUUAAGGAUUUGCCAACUUUUGAUGGUUACCAUAUCAAUGUCAACUUAAAGCUAUCAAGUAUCUUCACAAAUAUUGUUGACACCAUUUUUUGGAUGAAAAAAAAACGGGGUCGACUUGGGUUUUGACAAAAACGAAAAAACGGGAGUCGCCACCAAUCCUUUUUAAUGAGGUGUGAUUGGAUCACCUCAAAAACUAGUUGUUUCUAAUAAACGGUUUAAUUUUAUUAAAACAACGAUUUUGGUCCACGAAAUUCAGAAAACGGGUUCGGGAGUCGGUUACGUACGAGGAAGGAUUAGCACCCUCGUAACGCCCAAAAUUGGUACCUAGUUGAUUAGUUAAUGUCUUGAUGUCGAAAAUUGAUAACUUAAAAGAAUUUUAAAAAAUACGAUCCUUGAUUAAAACGUUAAGAGAAAAUUUUUUUGAGAAAAGAAGCACAUUUCACGUUAAUUGAGAAAUAUACGUCAUAUCCAGUGAGUUAGGAUACAAUGUCUCGAAUUCUCGAUGCGUAAAAAUGCUUGUUUAAAAGACAUUUUAGCUAUCUCGGAUUUAAAAAAGGAGAUCACGACCAGUAAGUUAGGACGCGAUUUUUUUUUUAAUUCCCGAUAUCAUUUAAAACUUGAGUUUAAAAAAAAUCGUGUAAUAAAGUUUAAAAGAAUAUUCAAUUGUUUAAAUCAAAUGAAGAAAUCGCAACCCAAUACGUUAAGGCACAAUUUCUCAAAAUAUUAAACAUUGAAUACUGCAUUUAUUUCGGAAAAAAAAAACCUCGUCUCGAGAAAACAACGUGUCACAUCCAAUGCGUUAGGACACAACGUAUUGAAUUCUCGAUAACGAGCUUUUUAUCAUUUUUAAAAGAGUAAUCUCGAUUAUUUAAAUUCAACGAAGAAAAUCAGAACCCAUUAUGUUAGGGCUCGAUUCUCUCGAAGUUCCAAAUACCGAGUAUUACUCAUAUUUUUAAAUUUUCUUCUUUUUUGAAAUCUAGAUAAAAAUAGGUGUAAUGGAAUAACAAUAAUGAUGAUGUAAUUAAAAUAAUACAAGCAAAGGCUACGAAGUAAAAUAAAUACAGAGACGAACUAAUAUAAUAUACAAUCACAAGCAUAUAAGCAAUAAAAUUAAAACAUUCAUUCUAAAUAAUGAAAAUGUAAAUGAAGAAAUGAACAAAGAAAAUGUAUAAAACUAUAAAAAAAUAAAACAUACAUAUGUGUAUAUACAUAAAAUUAUGGAAAUAUAAAAAAUAUAUGUAUGUACAUAUUUUAAAAUCAUUAUAAAAUAUAUAUAAGUAAACAUAUACAUAUAUACGUAUGUAACUAUCAUAAAAUAUAAAAAGUAUAUAUAUAGAUACAUAUAUAUAUAUGAGUCAUAGAAUAUAAAUAACAUAUAUAAGAUACAUAUUUAAAAUAUGAAGAAUGUAAGUAUAAAUAUAUUUAUGAAAAUAGAAUACAUAUAUAGACAUGUAUAUAGAUGUGUAUAAAAUUACGAAAUAUAAAAUAUAAGGGUAUUAGUAUGUGUAUAUAUAUAUAGACAGAUAGAUAGAUCAUAAAAAAAAUAUGGAUAUUAUAUAUAUAUAACAUGAAAACGCAUAUAUGUAUAUAUAACAAAGAUUCCAAAUAAAAAAUAAAUGAACAACUUAAUAAUAACAGUAAUAAUAUUAUUUUAUAAAAAAGGGAAAUAAACAAUAACAAAAGGACUAAAUUAAACAUUGAAACAAGAUUUGGGGUUUAAAAUUGCAAAUAAAAGGUUCAAGGGCUGGAAUGAAUCACGCACAAAGUGCAAAGGACUGAUCGGACAAUAUGCCCAAGUCCUGAAGGCACAACAUUCGUGCGCUGAUUAAAUUGAAUCAUAAAGAAAUUUCGUGGGGCCAAAUUAAAGAAAAUAAAUAAACAAGCAAAAGGACUAAAUUAAAACAAUCAACAACGAGGAAGGGCCAAGGGCAUAAAUAGCCCACUUCAUGAAAACGCGCGGAUCCCCUCCUACCGGGUCGGGUCGCACGCGGGUCCAGAGGCAGAACGAUGUCGUUUCGACGCCCAUAUGCAGUCACAAAACGGCGCCGUUUCUAUUAUGGUAUUUAAGCCCAAUUUUCUACAAAAAAAAUUUCAGCAACUGUUUGUUUUAAGAAAAAUCCAAAAAAAAAAACCUUUCCUCCUCCCCUCUCAAACAUCCGGCCUUUAGGUCUCCUUAGCGCCGCCAUUGCGCCACCGUGGACGGUGGCCGGCGUUGCGCAAAAGGGGCAUUCUAGUCUCGGUUUUGAGACCCGAUCGAAGGCUUUACUCGCAUAGCCUGAAGAUCAAGAGGCAGGACCCCCUAACUCAAACUUUCGGGGCCGAUUUCAACGACGGGCAGACCCCGACGGCAACGCAACCGAAAGACGAAACGGGUAAGUCCUCCUCUUCCUUUUUAUUUACUAUCUUUAUAUAUAUAUGUAUGUAAACAAAAAGAAAAGAGAACAAAAAAAUAACUUCAAAACUGAAAAGAAAAGAAAAGAAACCUUGAAUCUGUUUUUGUUUCCUUUUUCUCUAUUAAUGCCUUUUUUCUUUACAAAAAUCGAAACCCCCUUUACAAAGGUUUUUCAAUCGGUUUUUGAACCAAAAAUAAUACCCCCCGUUGCUUGUUGUUGUUGUUCUCUUUAUUAUUUACAGGUGAAGCAGGUGGCGAUGGGAUAAGGUGAACGGCGGUGGCAGAAGGCUAGGCUGCAAAAGGCGUACGGUGCUGAGCAAGGCAGGGAACCCUAGGGUUCCUUGAUGCUUGUUUAAUUUUUGUGCCCAAUUGGGCCAAUUUAGAUUUUGGGCAUUGGGCCUUGUGUUUUGGGUUGAAUUUAGCUUGUUAGGCUGGGGUAUUUUGGGUUAAUGGGCCCCGGGAAAAUUUAGGCUUCUACAGCUGCCUCUCUUUGCUCGUUGUCGUGUAACGAGAACAGAGCAAAGACUAAGAAAGACCAAAUUUGCCCAGUCUUGCCGAGUCUUGACUUCUCUUGACGCUUCUCUUCUUCACGUAGCCUCAUUCCAGUCUACUGUGUCUUGUCGUUUCGAUCCACUCCACUGCACCUCAGAAAGAUCUGACUUGUAGCUUCAAUCUUCUUCGCAACAACUUCAGAGAGAGAAGAUCGGUGGUUUUGAUCCGCUCCACUGCAACUUCAUAGAGAUAAGACUGGAUGCGGUCUGCUCUACUGCAACUUUAGAGAGAUAAGAUCUGUGGUUUUGAUCCGCUCCACUACUGCUUAAGGAGGAUAAGAUUGAUUUCUUCAAUCUGCUCCACUGCAACCUCAGGGAGAUAAGAUUGGAUGUGAUCUGCCCUACUGCAACUUCAGAGAGAUAAGAUCUGUGGUUUUAAUCCGCUCCACUGCAACUUCAGGGAGAUAGGAUUGGCUUCUUCAAUCUGUUUAACUGCAAUGUCGGGGAAGUAAGACUCGCCGUCGUAGCUUCAAUGUAUUCCACUACACCGUCAGGGAAAGUAAGAUUCGUCAUUGUGGCCUUGAUCUUUUAAUUGCAAUGUUGGGGAAGCAAGAUUCGCCGUUGUAGCUUCAAUGUAUUCCACUACACCGUCAGGAAAAGUAAGAUUCGCCGUUGUGGCCUCAAUAUUUUAAUUGCAAUGUCGGGGAAGCGAGAUUCGCUGUCGUAGCUUCAAUCUGUUCCGCUGCAUCACCUGGGAAGUAAGAUUUGCCUUUGUGGCUUCAAUCUUUUAAUUGUAAUGUCGGGGAAGCAAGAUUCGCCGUUGCAGCUUCAAUCUAUUCCGCUGCAUCCCCUGGAAAGUAAGAUUCGCCGUUGUGGCUUCAAUCUUUUUAACUGCCGGGGAAGCAAGAUCCGCUGUUGUAGCUUCAAUCUGUUCCACUGCAACGCUAGGAAAGUAAGAUCCGCUGUUGUAGCUUCAAUCUUUUUAAUUGCCGGGGAAGCAAGAUCCGCUGUUGUAGCUUCAAUCUGUUCCACUGCAACGCUAGGAAAGUAAGAUCCGCUGUUGUAGCUUCAAUCUUCUUAAUUGCAAUGUCAGGAAGCGAGAUUCGCUGUCGUAGCUUCAAUCUGUUCCGCUGCAUCACCUGGGAAGUAAGAUUUGCCUUUGUGGCUUCAAUCUUUUAAUUGUAAUGUCGGGGAAGCAAGAUUCACCGUUGUAGCUUCAAUCUGUUCCGCUGCAUCGCCUGGAAAGUAAGAUUCGCCGUUGUGGCUUCAAUCUUUUUAACUACCGGGGAAGCAAGAUCCGCUGUUGUAACUUCAAUCCGUUCCAUUACAACGCUAGGAAAGUAAGAUCCACUGUUGUAGCUUCAAUCUUUUUAAUUGCCGGGGAAGCAAGAUCCGCUGUUGUAGCUUCAAUCUGUUCCACUGCAAUGCUAGGAAAGUAAGAUCCGCUGUUGUAGCUUCAAUCUUUUUAAAUGCAAUGUCAGGGAAGUAAAAUCUGCUGUUGUAGCUUCAAUCUAUUCUGCUGCAUCGCUAGGAAAGUAAGAUCCGCUGUUGUAGCUUCAAUCUUUUUAAAAGCAAUGUCAGGGAAGUAAGAUCCACUAUUGUAGCUUCAAUCUGUUCCACUGCAACACUAGGAAAGUAAGAUCCGCUGUUAUAGCUUCAAUCUUUUUAAUUGCAAUGUCAAGGGAGUAAGAUCCGCUGUUGUAGCUUCAAUUUGUUCCACUGCAACGCUAGGAAAGUAAGAUCCGCUGUUGUAGCUUCAAUCUUCUUAAUUGCAAUGUCAAGAAAGUAAGAUCCGCUGUUGUAGCUUCAAUCUGUUCCACUGCAACGCUAGGAAAGUAAGAUCUGAUGUUGUAGCUUCAAUCUUCUUAAUUGCAAUGUCAGGGAAGUAAGAUCCGCUGUUGUAGCUUCAAUCUGUUCCACUGCAAUGCUAGGAAAGUAAGAUCCGCUAUUGUAGCUUCAAUCUUUUUAAUUGCAAACUAUGGUUUCUUCUAUCUGUUUCGCUGUCAGUACAGGAAUGCAAGAUUUGCUAUCUUCAUUCUGCUCCGCUGUCAGUACAGGAAAACAAGGCUGGUGUCUUCGAUUUACUUCACUGCCAGUACAGGAAGGCAUGAUCUGCUAUCUUCAUUGAUCUGUUCUCUGGUGAACAUGACCUUUAUGUUCUAUUUUAUAAACCUAAUUGUGCCUAGUGAUUAGGAUGACAUGAUCAGAACGAAACAAAUGCUCCUAACUAGAUGUGUAUGAAUGACAUUUGAAUGAAUGCAAAAUGUCAUGAAAAUGAUUCUUUAAUGCUUAGGUUAUCAUCACGCAAAAGCUUAUUAAGGUUAUAUCACUGACGUGCUACAAUGCCUUCUUGCUCAGCUAACAUAUCCAAAGAAACACUUAAUCUGAUUGCCCCCCACUGUGAACGUCAAAGUUCAAUCCACAGGGACAUAAAAUUUGUACCAUCAAUCUCCCACUAUAACCCAAGGGUAGAAAGAUAUGGCUUUUCUCAAUCUUCUCCUAUCGCAAUUCAAGGAUACAAGAUCUAAAUCCUUCUGGUCCCUUACACCAUUCCGAGGGUGUCGUAUCAAAGACUCAUGUGCAAAUGAGGGUUCUCUUCCCCGAGGUAACCUCUUCCUAUUGCCUGAUGAUCAUUGCUUUCUUGUUUAUUCAAGCUUUGUCACCAACAUGGCGUCUUGUCAAUCAACGCAUUUGACAACAAAAAAUCUAAAGAAAGUCUAAAUUUAGACUAUUCCUUCCCAAAUUUCCAACUUUAAAUUUGGUGUGUUAUAAACAAUAGUCAUGCUUUAGGCUCCAAUAUUAUUUAGAAACUUUUCAGAGUAAUAUGCAAAACUUCCUUUGUGAAAGUUUUAUUAGUCCAUUAAUCAUUAUUCUAAUACAACAUGCUUUGCAAAAAGGGUCUUAACAAUGAAUAAGAAUAAAAUUGGUUCUGAGCAUAGCUCGAAAAGAAUAAAUUACCAAAAAUAAUAAAGAAGGAUAAUGAAGAAAUUGAUCGGGAAUGUAUAUCUUGGAAAAGAAAAAGGUAUUCCAAGAACAACAAAUUUAAUAUAGAUAAUAUGAUAAUUGGGUGCCCAGACAUCGCAGCUUGAACUUCUCUGUACGAACUUUCUGAAGACCAUUUUGAGUUGGACAUGUGCUUAGGAGAUCUACAAUGCUCUGUCGAUACCCAAGAUGUCGCCUAUCCUUUCUUGUUGAUUCAGGCACAGCAAGAUCACCACAUGCCCCAAUAUGAUCAAAAUUCGAAUCGCUCUGAUCGCCUCAUGCCCCAUUCUGAACAAAUAUUUGAGCCGCCCUUUUCGGGUUUUCAACUCAAAUCCCCUUUGGCCUAAGGCGCCCUUUUUCGGGUUUUCCCCUUAGCCUCUCCAUUUUUCAUUUUCAUUUUUCAUUUUUCAUUUUUCAUUUUUCAUUUUUCAUUUUUCAUUCUCAUUUUUCAUUUUUCAUUUUUCAUUUUUCAUUCUCAUUUUUCAUUUUUCAUUUUUUUUACUUAGAGUGCUCUUUGCAGGCUUUCACAUUAGUCAUCUCUCCUUCUUUAAACGAAGUAUUUCUUGACUAGAUCUGAGUUUAUAGGACUAGAAAUCUCACUCAGGAUCAACGCUCUUCUGAGGAAUGUCUUCUUUACAACGUAGGGACAUUCCCAGUUUGGCAUUCAUUUCCCUCUGGAAUCCUUUUGGAGAGGAAUGAUCUUUUGACAUCCAACCCUCUCGUGGAAUUCUCUGAGAUGACACUGUUCGUUAUGGGCUCGUAUCAUUUGUUUCCGGUACAUCCAACCCUGAAGAAUAGCUUUUAACCUUUUUCCUAGGUUCAACUGAUCGCAUCGCGAUUGAAUCCAUUCUGCUUCAUCCAAUUCUAGCUCAACUAAUACUCGGAGAGAAAGGAUUUCAAUAGGUAAAACUACCUAAACCCUGCAAACCAAAGAGAAAGGUAUUGCCUCGGUAUAGAUGCUCGACAAGCAAGGAAGACAAAUAGUAAUUUCUCAUGCCAGUCUCUGUCAUUUUCCUUCAAUUUUCGAUGUUAAACUCUAGGCAAUUCAGUGGCGAAUCGUGGAGUCCACUUCUGAGUUGAUUUGAGAACUCAGCUAUCGUGAUAUUGUUUAAGCUCAAUGCAUUCUCCAAUACCCUUUUCUCUGAAAUUUUGUAUCGGAAUACGAUGACUUUUGAUCAUGAAGUAGCCUCUCAAAAUGAAGCAAUGCCCAUUAGAAGUCUUCGAUAAUGGUGAUGUCCAUGCCCCAUUGUGCUCGAAAUUUGAGUCGCCUUUUUUGGGUUUUCAACUCAAAACCACAUUUGGUCACAAAGCGCCCUUUACAGGUUUUCGCUUUGGCCUCUCCUUUUUUCUUUUUUAUUCUGAUUUUUUCAUCCAGAUUUCUCUUUUUCAUUCUUCUUUCUUUUUCUCAUUUUCAUUUUGAUCUUGAUUUUGAUUUUUUUCUUUCUUCUUUUUUUUUGAUUUUUUUCAUUUUCAUUUUCAUUUUCAUUUUGACUUUGACUUUGAUUUUGAUUUUUCUUUUUCUUCCCUUUUUGAUCUGAGCCUUUUGGUGGGCAACUUCGACAGAAAACUUUGGAUCUUCCUCUUUAAUCAGGAUGGACCCAACAACAACUUGAAGAGAUAGAAAUUUGACUUCAAAUGGGCAAAGCUAUGCUGACUCCACGUGAAAGGCAUUGCCCCGGCAAAGAAUUACAUCGUUCAUACUGCAAAUUUCUGACAUCGUGCUGUUGUGCAGAUUUCAUUAUCGGCGUUUAACCCGGGGCAUAUCCUGGUAUGAUCAUACGAAGACAUCUAUGAACCUUAGAGGUCACUCAAUAAGGUGUUGCUUCGUCUUUGCGGUCAAGUUAAUUCUAAUCUUCACCAAGUCCACAAUUCCUUAUGAGGUAGGAUCUGUCUAUCCUCUUAUUCUACCAUCCUCAACAAGUUCGGAGCUAAGCUACGAUCUAUGUCAUUUCCAAAGUCGUGAGAUCCGUCUAAACACAUACCUCUCUCAAGAGGAAAAUCUGAGUCUGUAGCAGUAUCACUCAUGUCAUUGAUAUCUGGGAACUCAUUGUAAGUACAAAAGGAUAUACAAAGAAUAUAUGAAGUUGUACAAUAUGUUUAUGAAUGCAAUAGUGAUUUGGAAGAAAGAAUAAAAGAAUACAAAUAAUCAUUGAUAAGAAAUGAAGAAUAUUGAUUCAAAAAAGAUCGCAAAGAUGCAUUCCAUUAAAAUAAUGACAUUCAGACUGAGCCUAUUUCACAAAAGAGUUCUUAUUGCCUCUAGGCUAAAAGCAACAAGUGUGUUCUGAAUAUUACUCUGAGUAAACUCUAAAUACUACAGGGGUCUCUUCUGCAGUCUAAUUAUUCAGAACACUCUCAAGUUUAGAAGGGCGAACAUCUAAUAAGAUAUCUUCUCCAAUUGUUUCUUCAUAUUCGGCACGGAUGUGAACAUUUCCUAACAUUUCUUCAUUCAUCGCAUUCCCUUCAUUAUCCAUAUGAUUGAGCAGCGGGUUUUCUGUACUGAGUGAAUCCUCAAAUUUAACAAUGCCCAUAUUGAUAAACCUUUCGACCAGCUUUUUAAAGGCAGUGCAUUUUUCUAUAGAAUGCCCUGUAAUUCCCGCAUGAUAGUCACAUCGCGCAUUUGUGUCGUACCAUUUGGGAUACGGAGGUUGUAAAGGCUUCAAGUAGAAAUGGGAGACAACAUGUGCGUCAAAUAAACUAUGAUACAACUCCUGGUACGACAUUGGGAUUGGUGCAAAUUGUGACUUUUCAGUACCUGGUUUCACUCCAGAUUCUUGCUUUAAAGGGCUCUGAUGGCUAGUGGUCUUCGUCUUUGGUUUGCCCACAGUGAUUAGUUUUGAGUGGCCCUUGUUAUAUUCGCCUGCGUUUUCCUUUUUAUUCCCCUUCUUCCUUGGGGCCUUUAUAGUAUCUGGGUACUCUACCCCCAUCUGCUUUAUUUCGGCUAGAUUAGCAAUAGGAUUAGCUAAAUCGUUCCUCAAAUUGGAUCCUAAGCCUGUCAGGCAAUUCACUGGUGUCGAUGUACUAGUCUGAUAAUAUUGGGAUCCGAUAGUAAAGAGUGCCCCUUGUGGGCGCCUAUCUGGCUGGACCUGGACACUUGUCGGAGUACAAUCUAAGGAAUAGACAAGAUCAUCAUUAUUAACCCUAAAGUAAACCACUGGGUCUUGCACUUCUUUUGACUUUCCAGCUAGCAAUCGGUUGAACUGGUUUAUCAUAGUUCUCCGUAAUUCUAGCAUCUGAUCUCUCAUCUCUUUUUGAAAUUUAGUCAUUUGCUCCUGCAUCUGGAUCUACAUUCGCUCUAAUUUUUCCAACCUUCGUUCCAUUUCUCUAGCCUUUGCUUGGAUAUCGUAAUGGUGUUUGGUUGUUUGGUUUUCCAAGUUAGCUGAAAUAAAUUUACUCAUUUAGACUCUUUCAAUGGAUUUUAAUGCAUGUAAUGCAAUGUGAUGCAAAUGCAUGAAAUGAAUGCCUAAAGAGACGUUGAUUCUGAUUCAAUUACAUUUAGAAAACUUUUCUAGAAAGCAAAUUCCCUUACAUAAAACAGAUACAUGUACGGCCUCACCCUCAUACUCCAAGAAACAACAUCGGUCUUUUUCUUCAUCCGCUUGUUUGAGGUAAUCUCGCCAAUAGAUGCCAUUGCUAGCUCCUUUUGAUCUUGGUCGUGAUCCAUCAUCUGCCCAUCUUCAUAAGGCUCGUCUGCUUCUUGGAACGUCGAAGGCUCUUAGACAAUCGCUUUGAAUCCUCAGGCCACGAAGCAGGGUCACGAACUCUUCCAUCGCCCUUCUUGCGUUCUUCAGAAUAUAUUUGGGAAGUUGUAUUAUUUUCCACCUUAUCAAGGAAUUCGUAUUCCAUGACAAGCUUUCUAAUUUAGUAAUCGAACUUGAAUCCAUAUCUCUUUCCUAAGAUGCAAAUGCAAUGUAAUGCAAUCAUAAUCAAAACACAACAAUAGGGGUUAGUACAAAACAUAAGCAAGCACAGAAAACAAAAAGUACCUAAUCAGGUAGAUACUAGGGGUUUGGAGUGGCUCUACCUAGGUUAAGUUCCUAAGUCUACUAUAUGAGGGUUGGUUCUAAAGUCAAGGUACCCGAACCAACAGAUUCCUCGAUCUUCACCCAUUAUAGGCUCAUACAGACAGAGUUCGGUUCAAGGGAAUACAUUUCCCGAUGGCUGCACGGAGAUGAAAAUCUCACGAAAGCAUAGGUACAGAUGUAUUCCGGAAGCGAUCCACUAUCCUGCACGAAGGUGAAAACCUCAAGAAGGACUAGUUUCUCACUCCCACCUAAAAGGUAAUAAUCGAGCGAUAAUGUAAUGCAACAUGCAGAAAUAUAUCAAAAUUCAAACCAAUAGAGCAAAUACAAACUGAAGUAAGGAUAAUCGUAACAAAAACGGACAAACAUACAACAAAAUGACCGUAGAUUUGAACCAAGCUUUCGGGUGACCUCUAGGCAUUUGGUGUGGUUCUACCUAGGGUAGGCUCUUAAGGCUCAUUAUAUGCGGUUCGGUUCUAAAGUAAGGGUACCUGAACCAGCAGAUUCCUCGAUCCUCACCCAUUAUAGGCCCAUACGGACUGAGUUCAGUUCAGGGGGAUACAUUUCCCUAUGGCCAUGCGGAGAUGAAAAUCUCACAAAUACAUAGGUACAGAUGUAUCCCGGAAGCGAUUUACUAUCCCAUGCGGAGGUGAAAACCUCACGAAGGCGUAGUUUUUCAUUCCCACUUAAAAGGGUGUGACCAACGGUCAUACAAUGCAAUGUGCUAAAAUAUACAUCUAAACGCAGUAAUUAUAAACAAAAUUAUAAAGACUGAAAUAAAAACGAAUGAAAUGCAACACAAGGAUCGUGUGAAGUUUUCAAUCUUUGACAAAAGACAAAAAGUAAUCAACACAUGGCUUGACUCUCGUAUUUUUCCCCAGCGGAGUUGCCAAGCUGUUGACACCAUUUUUUGGAUGAAAAAAAACGGGAUCGACUUGGGUUUUGACGAAAACGAAAAAACGGGAGUCGCCACCAAUCCUUUUUAAUGAGGUGUGAUUGGAUCACCUCAAAAAUUGGUUGUUUCUAAUAAACAGUUUAAUUUUAUUAAAACAACGCUUUUGGUCCAUGAAAUUCAGAAAACGAGUUCGGGAGUCGAUUACGUAUGAGGAAGGAUUAACACCCUCAUAACGCCCAAAAUUGGUACCUAGUUGAUUAGUUAAUGUCUUGAUGUCGAAAAUUGAUAACUUAAAAGAAUUUUAAAAAAUACGAUCCUUGAUUAAAACAUUAAGAGAAUUUUUUUGAGAAAAGAAGCACAUUUCACGUUAAUUGAGAAAUAUACGUCAUAUCCAGUGAAUUAGGAUACAAUGUAUCGAAUUCUCGAUGCGUAAAAAUGCUUGUUUAAAAGACAUUUUAGCUAUCUCGGAUUUAAAAAAAAUAGAUCACGACCAGUAAGUUAGGACGCGAUUUUUUUUUAAUUCCCGAUAUCAUUUAAAACUUGAGUUUAAAAAAAUUCGUGUAAUAAAGUUUAAAAGAAUAUUCAAUUGUUUAAAUCAAAUGAAGAAAUCGCAACCCAAUACGUUAAGGCACAAUUUCUCAAAAUAUUAAACAUUGAAUACUGCAUUUAUUUCGGAAAAAAAAACCUCAUCUCGAGAAAACAACGUGUCACAUCCAAUGCGUUAGGACACAACAUAUUGAAUUCUCGAUAACGAGCUUUUUAUCAUUUUUAAAAGAGUAAUCUCGAUUAUUUAAAUUCAACGAAGAAAAUCAGAACCCAAUAUGUUAGGGCUCGAUUCUCUCGAAGUUCCAAAUACCAAGUAUUAUUCAUAUUUUUAAAAUUUCUUCUUUUUUGAAAUCUAGAUAAAAAUAGGUGUAAUGGAAUAACAAUAAUGAUGAUGUAAUUAAAAUAAUACAAGCAAAGGCUACGAAGUAAAAUAAAUACAGAGACGAACUAAUAUAAUAUACAAUCACAAGCAUAUAAGCAAUAAAAUUAAAACAUUCAUUCUAAAUAAUGAAAAUGUAAAUGAAGAAAUGAACAAAGAAAAUGUAUAAAACUAUAAAAAAAUAAAACAUACAUAUAUGUGUAUAUACAUAAAAUUAUGAAAAUAUAAAAAAUAUAUGUAUGUACAUAUUUUAAAAUCAUUAUAAAAUAUAUAUAUAAGUAAACAUAUACAUAUAUACGUAUGUAACUAUCAUAAAAUAUAAAAAGUAUAUAUAUAGAUACAUAUAUAUAUAUGAGUCAUAGAAUAUAAAUAACAUAUAUAAGAUACAUAUUUAAAAUAUGAAGAAUGUAAGUAUAUUUAUAUUUAUGAAAAUAGAAUACAUAUAUAGACAUGUAUAUAGAUAUGUAUAAAAUUACGAAAUAUAAAAUAUAAGGGUAUUAGUAUGUGUAUAUAUAUAUAUAGACAGAUAGAUAGAUCAUAAAAAAAAUAUGGAUAUUAUAUAUAUAUAUAACAUGAAAACGCAUAUAUGUAUAUAUAACAAAGAUUCCAAAUAAAAAAUAAAUGAACAACUUAAUAAUAACAGUAAUAAUAUUAUUUUAUAAAAAAGGGAAAUAAACAAUAACAAAAGGACUAAAUUAAACAUUGAAACAAGAUUUGGGGUUUAAAAUUACAAAUAAAAGGUUCAAGGGCUGGAAUGAAUCACGCACAAAGUGCAAAGGACUGAUCGGACAAUAUGCCCAAGUCCUGAGGCACAACAUUCGUGCGCUGAUUAAAUUGAAUCAUGAAGAAAUUUCGUGGGGCCAAAUUAAAGAAAAUAAAUAAACAAGCAAAAGGACUAAAUUAAAACAAUCAACAACGAGGAAGGGCCAAGGGCAUAAAUAGCCCACUUCAUGAAAACGCGCGGAUCCCCUCCUACCGGGUCGGGUCGCACGCGGGUCCAGAGGCAGAACGACGUCGUUUCGACGCCCAUAUGCAGUCACAAAACGGCGCCGUUUCUAUUAUGGUAUUUAAGCCCAAUUUUCUACAAAAAAAAAAUUUCAGCAGCUGUUUGUUUUAAGAAAAAUCCAAAAAAAAAAAACUUUCCUCCCCUCUCAAACAUCCGGCCUUUAGGUCUCCUUAGCGCCGCCAUUGCGCCACUGUGGACGGUGGCCGGCAUUGCGCAAAAGGGGCGUUCUAGUCCCGGUUUUGAGACCCGAUCGAAGGCUUUACUCGCAUAGCCUGAAGAUCAAGAGGCAGGACCCCCUAACUCAAACUUUCGGGGCCGAUUUCAACGACGGGCAGACCCCGACGGCAGCGCAACCGAAAGACGAAACGGGUAAGUCCUCCUCUUCCUUUUUAUUUACUAUCUUUAUAUAUAUAUGUAUGUAAACAAAAAGAAAAGAGAACAGAAAAAGAACUUCAAAACUGAAAAGAAAAGAAAAGAAACCUUGAAUCUGUAUUUGUUUCUUUUUUCUCUAUUAAUGCCUUUUUUCUUUACAAAAAUCGGAACCCCCUUUACAAAGGUUUUUCAAUCGGUUUUUGAACCAAAAAUAAUACCCCCCAUUGCUUGUUGCUGUUGUUCUCUUUAUUAUUUGCAGGUGAAGCAGGUGGCGAUGGGACAAGGUGAACGGCGGUGGCAGAAGGCUAGGCUGCAGGAGGCGUACGGCGCUGAGCAAGGCAGGGAACCCUAGGGUUCCCUGAUGCUUGUUUAAUUUUUGGGCCCAAUUGGGCCAAUUUAGAUUUUGGGCAUUGGGCCUUGUGUUUUGGGUUGAAUUUAGCUUGUUAGGCUGGGGUAUUUUGGGUUAAUGGGCCCGGGCAAAUUUGGGCUUCUACAAAUAUAAUAUAUAUAUUAUUCCUUAAUGUGGGAUAAAAGUAGGCAGCUAUCUAUUAAUGAUACGGCUGAUUCUGAAAAGACGGCUGAAAUUGAAUCAAUGAGUUGUUGGUAUUUGCCUGAUGGAAGAACAGGGCCUAAUGUUACGUGGAUUCUGAUCAAGUUUUAAUUUUUCAGUUGUGGGCAUGACUGAUUGUUGCCAUUUGGUUGUUGAUCCUCUGAUUUUACGGUUGACUAUCUUGCUUAUACGUUGCUAUUGGUUGGCGGGUCUCAAGUAUGAAUUUCCAAGCCGGCUUUCAUCCAUAAUUAACUAGGUGUUCCAAUCCAUGGAGUUUAUGGUUUAUUAGUGUAACUGUCCAUUUGGUUAUGGAUUGGUUCUUAAGGUGUUUUGAUGCUUUGUAUGUUACAGUGUUUGCUCAACACCCUUUAAUUCUAAGGAAUUUUAUUCGUUGAGGAAAAAAAAAAUGAGGAUUACUCUGAUAUUUUAUGUUUGGGUUUAUGAAGAUUUUUGUAUGUUUAAUGAAAGAAAGCAAAUUAAAUAGAGACGUACAAGAUCACAUCCAUAGAUCAACAAAAGGGUUUAAUAUUUCCAUAAAAUAUUGUCCCAAAAAGGCCUUUUAAUGAGAAUUGAUCAUAUAAACUAAUGAAGGCCAUUGAAAAUAAAGCUUGUAAAAAAUUACAAAAGGAAUUGAUGAGAAUUUGUUGUGAUAAGAGUUUAUGGCCCUGUAGGAGCCUCUCCCCAAAUCGCUAGCAAAUGAAACAAAAGGAUUAAUGCACUUCGAUAAUGGCAGAUUUAUAUUUGUUACGAAAGGUCAAGAGCCCAAGCCAUCUCAUGCCACAGCUUUCCCUUAAAGCAUUCGUGGCUGAGUCUAGUAUUAAUUUUUAUUUGUAUCUUUUAUAUCCGUUUUAUAAUUCAUAUUUGGGAUUUGUAUUAUGCACUUAAUAUUUCAUUAUUUAUUGUCUAUGUUGCUCAUUGUUGCAAAAAGAAGAACCAAACACAAUGCAUGCAUAAACCAUAAAAAAGAGAAAAAAACAACAUAAGCAACUAAUAAUGAAAUAUAUUAAAAUGAAGAAUGGCAAUUGAUUUCAGAAUUACCCCAAUUUCGGUAAAUAUAUUAAAACAUGUGUCUCUAAUCUUUUUCAAUUUUGAUAUUGAAAAAAUUGGUAUUUCUAAAAAUAUCAGAGUUAUUCAAUCAUUUUCAUUUUUGAAAGUGAUAAGUCAAAGACAAUUAAUUACAACAUUAAUGUUUUUCAUCAAUUAUACAUAAUUUUCUUGGUAUAAUAAUAAAUUUAGCCCUCAAAGUUGACACAUCCUAUCAAUUUGUUAUUGAUUUAACUAAUUUAACCCACAAUAUUUACACAUUUUGUCAAUUUGAUCAUGAUUUAACAUAUUUAACCCGUAAUAAUUACACAUUCUAUCAACAUUUACACAAAAUAUAUAAUCAUCAAUGAUUAAAUUUAUUUUUCUACUAAUCAAAAUUAUGUAUAAUUAACAGAAACUACUAGCGCUUGAUUAAUUGUUCAUGGUUACUUUCAAAAUUGAUAAGGAUUAAAUUACUCUAUUUCUUUUAGAGUGACCAAUUUGUUCAAUAUCAAAAAGAUAUUUUUUAUUUAUUUUAAUUUCAUAGGUAAGAAAAUCUCAAAAAAGAAAAUCUUUGAAAUAAAAAAAAGUAUGUUUUAUAUAAUUAUUUAAAGUUACUCUCACAUUAUUUUUUACCCAUUCAAAGCUAGCAAGUCUUUUAUGUACAAAUGGUGUAGCUCUGCAAUUUGGAUUAACAUGUUGGUGACCUCCAUGUGAAGUGAAAGAAAAUAGACAAUGUCACACAAUUAUUAUUUUUCCCUCCGUACCCCUAUGCCACCAAAGAAAGUUGAAUUAUCAAGGCACAAAAGCACUAAGGAGUAGGAGCUAGAAAAAGAGGGGCAUGAAAAUAAAAAGAGUCAAAUUAUUAUUUGACGGAAACGUUAAAUUUUGAAAUACAUAUAACAAUCCACGUGUGUUUCAUAUAUAUCUUUUUAAUUUUUAUGAUUUUUUUUGAAAUUUUGAUUUUUGAAUACUAUUAGAAAAUUAUUUGGUACAUUGUUAGUGGAGUUUUUAAACUCCACCAACAAAAUCAAUGGGUUGACAAGUGUCUUACAGAGGUAAAUAAAAUAUUAAAAAAUAAAUAUUUUAAAAAAAAGAUAUAUGUCAAUUUUUUAAAGUUACUUGUGAAAUAAAAAUAAUAUAUUAUCAGCGUACCAAAUACUCACAUUUUUAAUUAAGAUUUAAAAAUAAAAAAUAUAUAGUUACUAAAAUGAAUGGGUUGCAAAUUGAGAAAUUUGAUAUUGAAUAUUAAAAUUUUCUUAAAAAGAAGACAAGAUACAAAAGUUAGUGACUUAUUUGAUUUUAUUUUAAUUUUUAAAUUUAUGCAUUUUAUUAUGAAUUUUUAUUCUUUGUGUACUCUGUAAAAUUUGUCUGAAAUUUCUAAUUUUUAAUUUUUCACAUGAGUUUAAGAUAGAAAAAAUUUACUCUUAGGAUUGGUGAAACAAGGGUUACAAUCGAUACAAGAGUUCAGUUUACGAUAUGUAGAUGAUUUUGUUCUUCGAAAUAUUGUCUACAGGUAGGAUAUCGGAAAUCUAUUAUCAUAGUUUUGUUAAAAGGUCGAGAGUUCUAUUUUGGCCUAAGACUCUAGGAAUUCUAUUAUCGAUAUUCUAAUUAUGAUCAUGAUCUGUAAAAGAUAUGAGUAACAUGUGAUAUGUAAAUGAAGAGUUUUAUGGUAUGAUAAGCCAUAAAUUAAGUGAAAAUGUAAGGAAGUGUAUGAUUAUAUGAAAGACAAAAAUAAUUAAUUUAGUUUAAUGAUCUGUAAAAUUGAAAAGUGAAAUACAUGAAUUAUAUAAGAGAAUGUUCAUGAUCGACAUGCGGUGUGUAAAUGAUAAGGAAAAAAUUAUAUGACCAAAAUAGUAGAAAUGAAUAAUGAAAUUAGUUAAAUACUUUGUAAGUUCAAAAGUAGGUUGCAUUAAAUAAAUAGAUUUAUUAGUCAGAAUAGUAAUCAGUCCGGCAUGCACGCUCUCUUCAGUGAGAAGGUGAUUUAUUUCAUUACUCUUACACUCUUGCAUAAAUCUGUUGAUUUGUCCUUGUUUUUUUUUCUGCCUUCAUUACUUGAGCUAACCUUAUUAUGGGCAUGGAUUAUAUAUAUAUAUGAAUAGGUUGCAGUUCCUAGCUUGGAAAAGCUGAAUAUCUGGGACUUGAAUGUGAAGAUGAUAUUUUAUAAUGACCUAGCACCAGGUUCCUUUAAAAAUCUACGAGAAAUAAUCGUUUGUGGAUGUGGGAGCUUGAAAAAUCUAUUUCCAGUAUGAAUAGCCAAAGAUCUUCCACAACUUGAACUUUUAUGCAUCAGGGGUUGUCGAGUUGAGGAGAUUGUAUCGAAAGGGGAUGGAGUGGAGGAGCAGCCUGUGAGGUUUGAGUUUCCGCAAGUAUCUUUCCUUGAGGUUAGAUGGGUAGCAAAGCUCAAAUGUUUCUAUGAAGGGCAACAUACAAUAGUCUGGCCGAUGUUGAAAAAAUUGGAAACAGAUAGUUCUGCUUUGCUAAAGAUAGUGGCAUGGGAACAUCUUAGAUUAAUCCAAGGAAAUGAGGAGCCAGUUUUGUUGGGUGAAGAGGUAUGUAUAUCAUUACAAAUAUAUUUCAUUUUAUGAUUUAAACCACUGCCACAAGCAUCUCAAGUUGAAAUAUGCCACGAUCAUGCAUUUCUAAUUAUUAUAUUUUGUUUGAUUUUUUUUUUUUGAAUUUUUUGUUACAUUUAUAAUUAUUUUUUCAAUUUUUUUAAAAACAAGACUGAAUAAACAUAAUAGGUAAAUAUUGAGUGAAUGCAGUUCAAUUUGAUAAAAUGUAUAAAUAUUGAGGGUUAAUUUUAUUAUUAUGUAAAAAAAAUACUAAAAAUAAAAAUAAAAAUAUUUUAUCUGUUUUUAAGUAACCAAAAUGAAAAUAUUUUAACACUAAGUGACUAUAUAUGUAAUUUACCCUGCAUUUAAGUAGUGGAUCGAAACUAAAUAGGACCUUUAAUUUGCUAAAAAAAAAUUGCCACUCAAUAAAAAAAUCAAAACUUUAAAAGUUAAUUACACUAGACAUCUCAAACUAUGACCUUCAUUUUAAAUUAGUCCUAAAAUUUAAAACUAUUGAGGUUAUAUCAAUUACGUCUUUCUGUUAUUAAAUUCGUUAAUUUAACCAUCAAAUUAAAUCAGUGUAAUAUUUUAAAACCUUGGUGUUUUAUCUCCACUGUUCUGCUUAUAUUUUUUAUCAUAGAAAAUAAAUAUAUAUAUAUAUAACAAUGGUUGUUUAUCUAUUUUAAUCUAGAUUUGCUACUCUUCUUUCGGCUUUUAUGUUCUGUAAUUUUUAUCAGUUUUAAUUCUCAAUGUAUUGUGUUUUCUUAAAACAAAAAAUUCAUCUAUUCUGGAUUUGUUUGAUUUAAUAUUGAUUUUGUUGGGAUUUAAUCAUCAAAAUCAAACACUAAAAUUGUAAAUUUUUUUUUGUUUGUUUGUUUGUUUAAAGCAUAUACAUCAACAUUGAGCCUAACUUGUUUAUAUUUAAUUGGUUUCCAAGGUCAUUCCCAAAUUAGAGGAACUUGAGUUACUAAAUUUUGGUGAUAUGGACCAAUUUCCACCAAACUUGUUUCAACAUAUUAAAGUUUUUGCAGCGAGUGAUGGCUCUCCAUUUUCUAUAUUUCCUUUCGUCCGAAGAUUCUACAAUCUGGAAAGACUUGAGUUCACUUGUUUAGAUUUCAAACAUGUAGUCCCUUGUAAAGGAGACGCCGGGACUCUCCCACCAAUUAGAAAUCUGGAAUUGUUUUCUGCCAGAAAUCUUAAUCAUAUUUGGAGGAAAGAUUCGGAGCUUGACCAUAUUCUUUCUAAUCUUCAAACACUCACAGUUCAUAGUUGUGAUGAUUGGAUAAAUAUUAGAGUCUUCUCAUCAUCUUUGCAAAAUCUCACAAUUGAAUGUGUCAUUUUGUAAAAUGAUGACAAACUUAGUCACACCCUCAGUACUUAAGAAUCUUGUGCAAUUAACGACAAUAAAGGUAGAAUACCGCACUAAAAUGACAGAAGUAGUGGGAAACGAGGGAGACUGUCAUCAGACAAUAGUUGUUAGUAAAUUGAAAUGUUUACAACUAUGCAAUUUGAAGAGCCUCACAAGCUUUUGUCCACGGUAUUACAGCUUCGAGUUUCCUUGUUUGGAAGAAUUAGUUGUGGAAGAUUGUCCUAAGUUAAAGAUCUUUUCUGAGGGAGUUUUAAGCACCCCACAAUUACAGAGAAUAAAACAGUCGAGUUACCGUGAGAAAUGGAGUUGGACAAGUGACCUUAAUACCACCAUAAAACAGUUAUACACAGAAAAGGUACAAAGUUAAUAAGUUCAUAAUGCUACCUAGAUUCCUCGUGUCCUAAUACAAUUAAUUUUAUUACUACUUCAAUAACCAUUGAAGAGUGUUAAUCGUUACUUUGUUAUUGUCUGCAUUUUCUAUUUAUGAUUGCUAUCUAGUGGAAUAAUAUCAGAUUAAUUUUUAGGAUGGACUCUAUAACCCAUAUGAUUUCAACAUCUCUGACACAUUUCCGGAGUCGAUAGAAAUAUGGACUAGAAACCCUCAAGAAAUUUUGGGCAUCAAAAACCUUAGCAGCCUGCAGUUUAUAAAUGUAGCAGCUUUAAGUACAUAUUUACUCCGUCUAUGCUUUUGGGCCUCAAUCUACUACGAAGGAUAAAAGUGAGAGAAUGCAGUUCAAUGGAACAAGUAGUUAGGGAGGUGGAGGAAGCAAUGACACAUAAAUUUACAUUUCUUUCGCUACGCUCCGUAACAAUUGAGUCGUGUUCCAACUUGACAAAUUUCCAUUUGGGAAGUCAAGCUCUUGAAUUUCCACAGCUGUUGAAAAUCACGAUAGCUGAGUGUCCAAAAAUGACUGCAUUUUCUUCCUCAGUUUCAAGAGAGAGUGGUGAUGCAAGCGAAAACGUGGUUGGCAAAGGGGGCAUCUAUGAUAACACUGCAACUUUUUUCAGCAAUAAGGUAAGUUUGGUAUUCAAUAUUUAUCUGCACAACUUAUUUCACAUUUUCUUUUGAUUUGAUCAACAUGAGUGUGUCUGGUCUACAUAUCCAUACUAGUGCUACACCUUGUCAAAAUUUAAUAUAAUAAAAUCCAUAAAAAUAUUAAUAAAUAAGAUGAUGUUUAAAAAAAAAUUGGAGUUUAAAGUAUAAAUAAAUAUAUAAAAUAAGAAUUGAAGGAAAAACUUAAAGUGAAAUACUAAAAAACAAUAAGAAUUUAAGAGAAGUUUAAAAUUAAAUAGUAAUAGACAAUAAAUAAUAAAAUAAUAAUAGAAAAAAGAAAACUAAUCUUCCUUCAUUUUAAUUUGUGGGUGUAUAAGAAGGAGAUAAUUGUGGAAGACCUUCACAAAGGUCAUUUGAGAUCAAAGGAGAAGAAGCCUGAAAACAAAACGUGAGGAGUUUGAAGAAGAAAGAACCAAAUAUAUAGAGGAGAAUUGAAGUGAGAGAGUGGAUGGGUUUUAUUUAAAGAUUUAUUGCUUUUUUUUUAAUUUCAUAUAUAGAAAAAAUCAUUGAAAGAAAAAAAAGUUUAAUAUAAUUAUUUAAAUUUACUUGUCGGGUUUUUAUAAAAGUAACUCAAUUUUUUGAUUAAUUAUGAAAAUGACUCAAUUUAAAAAUAAUGUACAUAAAUUAUUCGAUUUCUAUAGUGUUUGUCGGUGCCUCCAAACACAAUGGCGGCACCGACCUACCAUCAUCGAUCAAUGAUUGUAUUUUAUUUAAAAAAUAAUAGUUUUUUAGUAGUGUUGUUGGAAAAAUUGGCGAAAUCAGACUGAAGUGUGAUUAUAUAAAAUGUUCAUGGACUUAAUGAAGUAAUUACCCUUUUUUAAUUAGCGGAAAAAGGGAUCUUCCCGUGAAUAUGUGGCACCAAAUUAAAUGAUUUUCAUCUUUUGGUCUAUUUGCAUGUUAGGUCUAUCCCCUUUUGAAAUUAAAUUUAAAUAACCCUUAAGAAAUAUAAGAAUAACAAAAAUAAAUCAUUCUCAUUUAUUUUAUUUUAUUUUAAAAAAAUAAACUUAAAAAAUUAUAUAAAAUUCUUAUUUAAAUUACCCAAAUAUAUCCCUCACACAAUUUCCUCAAGUUUAUCUAAAUUCAAGCAUUUUCAAUUUAUUCCCUAGCAUAUUUAAAUUUAGAUAAACUUAAGGAAAUUUUUUAAGAAAUAUAUUUGGGUAAUUUGAAUUAGAAUUUUAUAUAAUUUUUUAAGUAUUUUUUCAAAAAAAAAAAGGGAGGAAUUGGUUGAAGAACAUCAAGGGAGGAGUCAGAUGUUUUUCUCUGAACUAGAAUUGCUGUGGCUAAAAGACCUUCCCAAACUCACAAGUUUCUGCUUUGAGAAUUGCUUUGAAUUCCAAUGUUUGACAGUUUUGGAACUAACAAAUUGUCCAUUGCUAAAAACAUUCAUCUCUAAAUGUGUACCCGGAGAUGAACCUCAAAUUGGCCAACAUUUACGAGCAAGUAACUUGGAGGUUCAUAACUCAUCUCUCCUCAAUGAAAAGGUAAUUUCUUCAAGGAUCCUCCUUUUAAUUUAUGUUACUUCGAUUGAUUUUAUUCAUUUGAAAUUCUUUCUUUUUCAUACAUAUUUCAGUUAUUAACCUAAUGAAAUGAUUUAUUAGGUUGUUUUCCCUAGUUUGGCGAAGCUGCAGAUUCAAAAUUGUGAUUCGUUAGAAGAAAUUAUUGAGCUGCAAGGACUCAUUGCUGAUGAGUCACAGUCAACAUCAGCUGCUCAAUCUAUUGUGGCUGAAGCAGUGACGACCAAGUUUGUAUUUCCCAAACUACAAAACCUUGGAUUGGAUAAGGUGCCAAGAUUGAAAAGUUUCUACUCUAGGAUGCAUACCACCCAGUGGCCUUCAGUGAAACAAAUGAGCAUUAUUGAAUGCCCCAAAGUACAGAUAUUUACUCGACAAUGUCCUGUGAGUCAGGUUGGAAUCUCAAACCAACAACCCUUGUUUUUCG